GACGAACGCUGGCGGCGUGCUUAACACAUGCAAGUCGAACGGAAAGGCCCUGCUUUUGUGGGGUGCUCGAGGGGCGAACGGGGGAGUAACACGUGAGUAACCUGCCCUUGCCUUUGGGAUAACUUCAGGAAACUGGGGCUAAUACCGGAUAGGAGCUCCUGCUGCAUGGUGGGGGUUGGAAAGUUUCGGCGGUUGGGGAUGGACUAGCGGCUUAUCAGCUUGUUGGUGUGGUAGUGGCUUACCAAGGCUUUGACCGGUAGCAGGCCUGAGCGGGUGACCGGCCCCAUUGGGCCUGAGAUACGGCCCAGACCCCUACGGGAGGCAGCGGUGGGGAAUAUUGCACAAUGGGCGGAAGCCUGAUGCAGCAACGCCGCGUGCGGGAUGACGGCCUUCGGGUUGUAUACCGCUUUCGCCUGUGACGAAGCGUUAGUGACGGUAAUGGGUAAAGAAGCACCGGCUAACUACGUG
rnacentral:rRNA from 1 species